rnacentral:rRNA from 1 species
UUAAAUUGAAGAGUUUGAUCAUGGCUCAGAUUGAACGCUGGCGGCAGGCCUAACACAUGCAAGUCGAACGGUAACAGGAAACAGCUUGCUGUUUCGCUGACGAGUGGCGGACGGGUGAGUAAUGUCUGGGAAACUGCCCGAUGGAGGGGGAUAACUACUGGAAACGGUAGCUAAUACCGCAUAACGUCGCAAGA